AGCUCCAAUAGCGUAUAUUAAAGUUGUUGCAGUUAAAAGGCUCGUAGUCGAAUUUGUAGUUCUUUGCCUUCGUCCCGUUCCUUCUGGAGCGUUUGAGACGUCGGAAAGGACUUUCCUGGUGGACACUGUCUUCUGCCCUUUACUGGGUUGGUUGCUGGAUCUGCCUCUUUUACUGUGAGAAAAACAAGGUGCUCAAAGCAGGCUUUAUAGCUUGAAUGCGUUAGCAUGGAAUAAUAAGAUAGGACUUUGCUCCUAUUUUGUUGGCUCUGAGGAACAAAGUAAUGAUUGAUAGGGAUAGUUGGGGGUGCUCGUAUUUAACGGUCAGCGGUGAAAUGCAUGGACCCGUUAAAGACGAACUUAUGCGAAAGCAUUCACCAAGGAUAUCUUCU
rnacentral:rRNA from 1 species